UACAGGGGGGGCAAGCGUUGUUCGGAAUUACUGGGCGUAAAGGGCCAGUAGGCGGCCAACUAAGUCCGACGUGAAAUCCCCAAGCUUAACUUGGGAACUGCGUCGGAUACUGGAUGGCUUGAAUUCGGGAGAGGGAUGCAGAAUUCCAGGUGUAGCGGUGAAAUGCGUAGAUAUCAGGAGGAACACCCAUGGCGAAGGCAGCAAACUGGGCAUCAACUGACGCUGAGGCGCGAAAGCGUGGGUAGCAAACAGG
rnacentral:rRNA from 1 species